AUGCGGCGUCGGUUCCGGGCAACGGCGGCGGCAGAUGGAGCUCGGGCGCGGGUCAUAGCCAUCCAUGGCGGCACUGAUGGAGGAGAUGCAAGCGAGGAAUUGGAUGCGGGGGAGGCCGAGAACGGGCAGCGGAGCAUGCUCCCGUUCAGGUCCAGCCGGAACCGAGGCGGGGCUGGAGGCAACGACAGUGGUGAACUCGUGCUUCGGCGGUGGCGCUGGUUCACUGUGACAAAAAGAAACGAGAUGAAGCGGAUGGAAGAAGCAGAGGAGGAGCCCGGCUUGCUCCGGUCUGGUGGUUGCGCUGGUUGGGUGGACGACGGGAUCCAGGGAAGCACUAGUGAGGAGGAGGUGCUCGGGCGGCGGCUCGGGGUCGAGCUCCUCUCGAUCCGGAUCAAGGAGGGAGCGGGAGGCAGGGCGCUGUAG
rnacentral:rRNA from 1 species